rnacentral:rRNA from 1 species
AUUGAACGCUGGCGGAAUGCUUUACACAUGCAAGUCGAGCGGCAGCACGGGGGCAACCCUGGUGGCGAGCGGCGAACGGGUGAGUAAUACAUCGGAACAUGCCCAGUCGUGGGGGAUAACACUUCGAAAGAAGUGCUAAUACCGCAUACGUCCUGAGGGAGAAAGCGGGGGAUCGCAAGACCUCGCGCGAUUGGAGUGGCCGAUGUCAGAUUAGCUAGUUGGUGGGGUAAAGGCCUACCAAGGCAACGAUCUGUAGCUGGUCUGAGAGGAUGAUCAGCCAGACUGGGACUGAGACACGGCACAGACUCCGACGGGAGGCAGCAGUGGGGAAUUUUAGACAAUGGGGGAGACGCUGAUCCAGCGAUUCCGCGUGAGUGAAGAAGGACUUCGGGUUGUAAAGCUCUUUCGGCAGGAACGAAACGGCGAGCUCUAACAUAGCUUGCUAAUGACGGUACCUGAAGAAGAAGCACCGGCUAACUACGUG